GAUGAACGCUAGCUACAGGCUUAACACAUGCAAGUCGAGGGACCGGCGCACGGGUGAGUAACACGUAUCCAACCUGCCCUUUACUCGGGGAUAGCCUGUCGAAAGAAAGAUUAAUACCCGAUAUAAAGGAUGGGGAUGCGUGCCAUUAGGUUGUUGGUGAGGUAACGGCUCACCGAGCCUUCGAUGGAUAGGGGUUCUGAGAGGAAGGGCCCCGACACUGGAACUGAGCCCCGGUCCAAACUCGUACGGGAGGCAGCAGUGAGUAAUAUUGGUCAAUGGGCGCUAGGCUGAAACAGCCAAGUAGCGAGAAGGAUGAAGGGUUAUAGGUCGUAAACUUCUGUUACAUAAGAAUAGGUAUUAUAUGAAUAAGCAUCGGCUAACUACGUGCCAGCAGCCGCGGUAAUUC
rnacentral:rRNA from 1 species